AUGGAAAUCACAUAAUUGAGCUGAUCAAAGUUAAAGUAUAUAUAUAGUGUGCAUAAAGCUUACAGAGCUUAACUUUGAGAUAGAAGGAGUAUCAUCGACACGGCCUGACAACUCACAAAUCAGCAGCACAUCCCAAAGAUGAAGGUUCUGGUUCUGAUGCUAUGUCUGGCCUUGACCUAUGGUGUUCUGGCACAGCUUCCGGUGGCUGGAGAUGUUAGCCUGGAAUCUGCCAGUUCUGAUGAAUCGAUUGAGACGGAGGAUUUUGACUUGAAGCGGGACGCACCUUGGAAGAGACAAAAAAAGAGGAUGAUAUGAUUGGUACAUAAAUACAACAUGUUCUGGACUCUGUGCAACUUUUACGUAUGGAAAAAAAAUUGUUUUGAAUAGCGAAAGAUUUCAAAUAGCCACUUGUUUUGUUAAUUAUUAAACGUACACAAAUAUAUGUUACAGAGACAAAUAAAACUAAUUGAUGACACCAGAAGAA